UUUCCGUAGGUGAACCUGCGGAAGGAUCAUUACCGAGUUAGGGUCGCCCUCCGGGGUGCCCGAACCUCCCAACCCUGUGUCUAAGUUACCUCUCGUUGCUUCGGUGGGCCGGUCCGGACUGAAAUACUGUCUGGACCGCCGGCCAGGGGGUUUUAAACCCCCCCGGUUGGAGAGCCUGCCCGCCGACGGCCACCAAAUUUAACUAAACUCUUGUACCAAAAUCGUGUCGUCUAAAAAACUAAAUUUUGAAACAAAAAUUAAAACAAAACUUUCAACAACGGAUCUCUUGGUUCUGGCAUCGAUGAAGAACGCAGC
rnacentral:misc_RNA from 1 species